rnacentral:rRNA from 1 species
UACGGGGGGGGCAAGCGUUGUUCGGAAUUACUGGGCGUAAAGGGUCUGUAGGUGGCUUGCUAAGUCAGACGUGAAAUCCCUCAGCUUAACUGGGGAACUGCGUCUGAGACUGGCGAGCUUGAGGGCAGGAGAGGAACGCGGAAUUCCAGGUGUAGCGGUGAAAUGCGUAGAUAUCGAGAGGAACACCUGCGGCGAAGGCGGGUUGCUGGGCUGACACUGACGCUGAGGCGCGAAAGCCAGGGGAGCAAACGGG